GACGUUUUGGAAAUACUCACAUAGAUACAAAGAGAGGGAAGCUUGCAAAAGGUUUUUCCUUGUAAUAAAAAGUCGAGUGACGGUCGACUGUGGGGCUUUUUGUGCAGAAAAAUAUGAUUUUAGAAAGGAUUUUGCGUAGAUGUUGGACUCUGAUAGUGGAAUGAUGAUUGGAAAGUCUUUGAGUUUGUUGCUGUGUCUCAUACUUACAGCUUCAAGGCAGAGCGCAUUGCACUGCUGCAGCUGGAAUGGUAUCAUUUUUUAAAUUUAUGUUGAUGCUGGAGUUUUAAGAUCGCACGAACUGUUUACUAUUUAGUCUCCUUUGAGGUUUAUUAAAUCUAAUUGUACUACAUUUAGCUCAUAACUGCCGUCAAACUUUAUCAUGUUUACCACAACAUGGAUUUAAAAUUGCAGCAUGCUUGUGACACAGAAACAAUGUCUCUUAUCACUCCCUAAACCAAUGUGCAUACGUCUCCCUGCUGUUCUCCAUGGAGACAUUAAAAGCGCUGUUUACUCCUGACAAAUACGGAGGAGGAGACCCUGGUUCCCAUGGAGACACUCAUCUGUUUUGUACUGACAGUGAUCCAGGUGUUGGAGGAGGUCAGCAGAGUCUGAAUAAGUGAUGAUGAACACUCCCACCGGAGGAUCUGCCUGGAUUAAUGCUAAGGCUGUUACGAUGACAACCUGGGAGUUUCAAAUCAGGACCUGUAUGCCUCCAGGACUCUGAGGCGUGCAGGAAAAAUUGCGGGUGACCCCACCUAUCCAGGACACAAACUGUUUCAGACUCUCCCCUCUGGCAGGAGGCUGCGGUCCAUCAGGACCAAAACCUCUCGCCACAAGAACAGUUUCUUUCCGAUGGCAGUGGGCUGCCUCAACAAGGCCUGGGUCCCCACUGUCACUGACUCUCAUGCCCCCCUCCCCAAACACACACACUCACACACACUCCUGACCUCACACUUUACAACAACGCUCAACUGUGCUUUAUGCUCAUGUUGCGAA